UCAAUUUCUUCUAGCGACACAUCUCUGAUACGAAGAAGACGAGCUUUUUAAGUUUUGGUUGGUCAUCUCGAUAUAGAUCCAUUAGCUGUUGAAGAAAAUGAUAAGAUUUGCAAUCCUCUAAUUUUAUACAUAAGAAUCGGUCUAUUGUUAUUAAAGACAGUGCUCUAAAUGGGUGAGAUCAGACGAGAAAAAUCUCCACCAACACUUAAAGUUGAAGUUAUCGGAAGCUAAUCAAAGAUAACUUUAAUCUGCUCUCGUCAUUUUAACUCAUUCCCCAUCCUUAAUAUUAGUGAUUUUGAUAUAAAAUUCUCAAAAGAGUUUUAUGGUUACUGAAAACCUAGUAUCGUUGAUUUCAUCUUGAAUUUCAUCUUUAUUUUGUAAUUAGAGCUUGAAUCUGUGAUAAUCUCAUCGUAAACAUUGAUUUAAGACUAAAACCACCAAAAAAUUUGACAAAAAAUUUUUCUAAAUUUUUUCAGUCCAUCUCUGUUCCUACGUGGUGAAAUCCUAUGAAAUUGGGAGACAAACGUCUAGUAUUUAUUGGUGAUUCUCUUAAUAGGUACAUGUGGGAAUCACUUGUUUGUUUGUUAUUUUUGAAGCAUAAUCACUUGUUUGUAUACUUAGAUAUUUUGUUUAAGAUAAAACCAAGGUGUUUGAUGCGUGGAUUUCAAACUGAAUGUGCUUGUGCUUUUAUAUUAAAUGCGCAUUUACAUAAAAUCCCCAGUUCACCAUUACUGAUUACUAAUCUAUCAAUUACCCGAACCAAGCUUGUGGUUAUAAAGGUGAAUUCAACUAAAAUCUUUACAAUUUGACGUAAGGAAAAUAUAUAUUUACCAUGGAAAAGGAUGGUGAAUCCAUUAACUAGAGUAGGAGUUUUAACAAAUCUCUGUUGAAAAGCAUCACUGGGAUUAUUAGUAGGGUCAGUUGAGAUAGUACGAAAAGAAGAUCUAACUUGUGCUUAUUGUUUUGAUAUUAUCGGACUACAUUUUGUUUUAGCAACACCUCCUUUUCCGCCUACAAAUACCCAUUCGGACUUGUUCUAGCUCGCCAUUAACACAUUUAAAUUCGGCAAAAUUUAUGUGAUAUUGAGAUUUGGACUAGUAGUUCAGAGAAAUGACUACAAUACUAUGAGUGAAACUGGAAAUCAAAAAUAGCACCCAACCUAUGGGAAAACAAGAUUUGAUAUGUCAUAGGUGGAAUUGCAAAUUUACAGUGUACUGGUCUCUUAUAGGUGGACGCUUAACUUGGCCUCUUAUUAGCGCGACCGCGCGUUGUUGACUGUUUUAGAGGGAAAUAAACAAGCACGCUUAUGAAGAAAAAUAAAAAGUUGCUUCAACACUGAUUGCAAGAUGAUACUGAAAUGGUUGUCAAAAUUCUAUGGAGGGCACUUCUCAUGCUAGUAAAAAUAUUAGAAACAGCAAAAAGAACUAUCAUCUCAAAUUUCGUGAUCCGGCCCGUGAAGGAUGUGCUCCCCGGUGGUUGGUGUCUUCGCUGCUGGGUUAUAAAAAAAUGGAUUCAGGCUUUUGUAUCCAUUUCAUGAUUUAGUGGCAAUCGUCGACCAUGACCUGGUUCGGUGAUGCAGGCUAGCGCGGCUAAGAAAUAGGAAAACCCCUCAAACGAGAGAAUCUUAUUAAUGACGCUGACUAAAUUUUAGUGGGCAAAAUCAAAAUGAAAUUUUCAGUUGGGGAUCUAAUUUCUAGACUAAGUUCAGUGCUUAUGGCAGUCAUACAACAAGAGGGAUAUACUUAUACAUCAUGAUUUCUAUUUCAUGUCAUAUUUACCCACACGUCAUUUUUCUCUAUCUACAUAUUUGUUUGCAACUUUGCAUUACAGUAGUUGCGUGUAUAUGUCGCUUCGACCAUGUUUAUCUUUA